rnacentral:rRNA from 1 species
UCAUCAUGCCCCUUAUGUCUUGGGCUGCACACGUGCUACAAUGGCCGGUACAAUGAGCUGCGAUACCGCGAGGUGGAGCGAAUCUCAAAAAGCCGGUCUCAGUUCGGAUUGGGGUCUGCAACUCGACCCCAUGAAGUCGGAGUCGCUAGUAAUCGCAGAUCAGCAUUGCUGCGGUGAAUACGUUCCCGGGCCUUGUACACACCGCCCGUCACGUCACGAAAGUCGGUAACACCCGAAGCCGGUGGCCCAACCCCUUGUGGGAGGGAGCUGUCGAAGGUGGGACUGGCGAUUGGGACGAAGUCGUAACAAGGUAGCCGUACCGGAAGGUGCGGCUGGAUCACCUCCUUUCUAA